rnacentral:rRNA from 1 species
AUGAACGCUAGCGGCAGGCUUAAUACAUGCAAGUCGUGGGGCAGCAGGUUUGUAGCAAUACAGAUGCUGGCGACCGGCAAACGGGUGCGGAACACGUACAGAACCUUCCUUUGAGCGGGGAAUACGCCCAGAGAAAUUUGGAUUAACUACCCCAUAGUAUAAUGAAGUGGCAUCACUUUAUUAUUAAAGAUUUAUCACUCGAAGAUGGCUGUGCGGCUGAUUAGGUAGUUGGCGGGGUAAAGGCCCACCAAGCCUGCGAUCAGUAACUGGUGUGAGAGCACGACCAGUCACACGGGCACUGAGACACGGGCCCGACUCCUACGGGAGGCAGCAGUAAGGAAUAUUGGUCAAUGGAGGCAACUCUGAACCAGCCAUGCCGCGUGGAGGAUGAAGGUCCUCUGGAUUGUAAACUUCUUUAUAUGGGACGAAAAAAGGCUUUUCUAAGUCGUCUGACGGUACCAUAUGAAUAAGCACCGGCUAACUCCGUG